rnacentral:rRNA from 1 species
UACGGGGGGGGUAAGCGUUGUUCGGAAUUACUGGGCGUAAAGGGCUCGUAGGCGGCCAACUAAGUCAUACGUGAAAUCCCUCAGCUUAACUGGGGAACUGCGUGUGAUACUGGAUGGCUUGGAUUUGGGAGAGGGAUGCGGAAUUCCAGGUGUAGCGGUGAAAUGCGUAGAUAUCUGGAGGAACACCGGUGGCGAAGGCGGCAUCCUGGACCAAUAUUGACGCUGAGGAGCGAAAGCUAGGGGAGCAAACGGGG